rnacentral:rRNA from 1 species
GGAGUCAGACUGCCGAGACAGUUGGGCGUAAAAAGGGAAAGAGCCCAGACCGCCAGCCAAGGUCCCAAAGUGUGUGGUUAGUGGAAAAGGAUGUGGGAUCUCCAAGACAACUAGGAUGUUGGCUCAGAAGCAGCCACACAUUCAAAGAGUGCGUAACAGCUCACUAGUCGAGAGGUCCUGCGCCGAANAUGUCCGGGGCUGAAACACAACACCGAAGCUGCGGAAUCACGCAAGUGAUUGGUAGAGGAGCAUUCUUAAUACCGACGAAGCUGUACCGGAAGGAGCAGUGGAGGGAUAAGAAGAGAGAAUGCCGGAAUGAGUAGCGAGAGAGAGGUGGGAAUCCUCUCGGCCGAAUAUCCAAGGUUUCCAGAGUAAAGCUGAUCUGCUCUGGGUAAGUCGGGGCCUAAGGCGAGGUCAAGAGACGUAGCCGAUGGACAACAGGUUUAGAUUCCUGUACCGCAUAUAAACAGAACUGUGGGGACGCAUGGGGAGAGCAUGGGCCGGGAAUGGAAAUACCGGUGCAAGCGAAGGAGGUGUGCAGCCGGCAAAUCCGCUGCAUGAGCCGAAAGCGUGACGCGGAGCGAAAUGAAAGUAGCGAAGCAUGUGAGCCCUGUGCCGAGAAAAGCCGCUAUUGUUUUAUAUGUGCCCGUACCGUAAACCGACACAGGUGGAUGAGGAGAGAAUCCUAAGGCCGGCGGAAGAAGUAUUGUUAAGGAACUCGGCAAAAUGACCCCGUAACUUCGGGAGAAGGGGUGCCCACGGGAGUGGGCCGCAGAGAAUAGGCUCAAGCAACUGUUUAGCAAAAACACAGGUCUAUGCGAAACCGAAAGGUGAAGUAUAUGGGCUGACGCCUGCCCGGUGCUGGAAGGUUAAGAGGAGAGGUCAGCGCAAGCGAAGCUUUGAAUUUAAGCCCCAGUAAACGGCGGCCGUAACUAUAACGGUCCUAAGGUAGCGAAAUUCCUUGUCGGGUAAGUUCCGACCCGCACGAAAGGCGUAAUGAUUUGAGCACUGUCUCGACAAUAUAUCCGGUGAAAUUGAAGUACCAGUGAAGAUGCUGGUUACCCGCGCCAGGACGGAAAGACCCCAUGGAGCUUUACUCCAGUUUGGUACUGGGAUUCGGUACUGCACGUACAGGAUAGGUGGGAGACUUUGAAACUUGAACGCCAGUUUGAGUGGAGUCGCUGUUGGGAUACCACCCCUGCAGUAUUGGGUUUCUAACCAGUCACCGUGACCCGGUGAUGGGACAAUGCCAGGCGGGGAGUUUGACUGGGGCGGUCGCCUCCGAAAGGGUAUCGGAGGCGCUCAAAGGUUCCCUCAGAAUGGUUUAACACCAUUUGAAGAGUGCAAAGGCAGAAGGGAG